rnacentral:rRNA from 1 species
ACGAGUCCGAAAGACUUCUUAGAGGGACAAGCGGUGUUCAGCCGCAUGAAGUUGAGCAAUAACAGGUCUGUGAUGCCCUUAGAUGUCCAGGGCUGCACGCGCGCUACACUGGAGGAAUCAGCGUGCUGUAACCAUUGCCGAAAGGUAUUGGUAACCCCUUGAAAAUCCUCCGUGAUCGGGAUCGGGAAUUGCAAUUAUUUCCCUUGAACGAGGAAUUCCUAGUAAGUGUGAGUCAUCAGCUCACGUUGAUUACGUCCCUGCCCUUUGUACACACCGCCCGUCGCUGCCCGGGACUGAGCCGUUUCGAGAAAAGCGGGGACUGCUGUUUCGAGACCUUUCCAGGUGGAGAUUCUUUGGUGGGAACCGCCUUAAUCGCAGUGGCUUGAACCGGGCAAAAGUCGUAACAAGGUUUCCGUAGGUGAACCUGCGGAAGGAUCAUUAUCGAGCUAAACCAAAAAGUCUCCUUACGUGCAUAAAUUCCAUUUGUGCGUAAUCGUGAGCCAUGCAUCAAGCCAUACACAUGUGGUGGCAGCCGUCCGCUGUUUUGUGGCGGACAAUGGCUUUGGCUUGAUGUGUGAUGAGGGGAAGUGAGUGACCUGAUAUGCUUGACAGGCAGGUCGAUUGCGCUCAUUUUCUCGUUAUUUGUAACAACGGUAUCCAUUUGGCGUCUACGCCGUACCUAGCUAUCGCCUGGACCGUCGAUAGCAAUGAAAGGUGCGGAGAAAGUUCCUUAUUUUGAGUUGAGCAGACUUAAUGAGCCCUGCAAGAGGGCCGCCAAAACCAAAACACAACCAUUUCUUUAUUUUUUAUAGUUGAUCGGUAAAUCGAGGUGUUCGUUAUCUGACAACAUGUGGUUGUCGAUGCGGAUGUCUUGGUGAAUCGUUAACUACAAAUCUUGGCGGUGGAUCACUCGGUUCGUGGAUCGAUGAAGAACGCAGCCAGCUGCGAUAAAUAGUGCGAAUUGCAGACACAUUGAGCACUAAAAUUUCGAACGCACAUUGCGCCAUCGGGUUCAUUCCCGCUGGCACGUCUGGCUGAGGGUCGAAAUGUUCGACACCAUCCGUACAAUACUUCUUGUGAAGGGGGAAUUGUGUGGUGCAUUCGGCAAGCAGUACUUCUUGGGCAUCGCUCUUGAAAGUACUCCUUGCCUAGACGAAAUAAUUGCUAAAUUUUACUCGGUAAGGUGCAAUUAUGGCCGUGAAUAUGUUGCUUCUCGAUGCGGCUACCAGUAUUUGUUGAUUGUCGAUGGCGACUGGAAGUAUCGUAUCGGAUGCCUAAUAGAGUGACAUGUCUUGGUUAUUAUGUGUUUUUGACCUCAGCUCAGUCGUGAUUACCCGCUGAAUUUAAGCAUAUAAUUAAGCGGAGGAAA